rnacentral:rRNA from 1 species
UACAGAGGGUGCGAGCGUUGUUCGGAAUUACUGGGCGUAAAGCGCGCGCAGGCGGCCUUUUAAGUCUGACAGUGAAAUGCCGGGGCUCAACCCCGUGCCCGCCGGAGAUACUGGGAGGCUGGAGACGAGUAGAGGCAAGCGGAAUUCCGGGUGUAGCGGUGGAAUGCGUAGAGAUCCGGAAGAACACCGGAGGCGAAGGCGGCUUGCUGGGCUCGGUCUGACGCUGAGGCGCGAAAGCGUGGGGAGCGAACAGG